UACAACCACUUGACUAGAGGGAGCAAAGUGACCAACAUUUAACCAAUUAUAUGAACCCAAUUGUUCAAUUCAUUUAAAAGACUUAUUUUUUUUAAAUUAGUUGAAAAGACGUUAUUUUAUAGUAACAGCCAUUCCUCUUAAGUGGCUGAGAGUUUAGAUAUUUGAACUUUGGUGUAGCAGGUUACUUCGAUCCUGGUUUGAUCCAAAGCUUGAGAUGUCAGACUAAGCGUCUAAUAUCAACCUUAAGUUAUAAAAUUUAUUUUUCAUAUGAAAAGGGGGAACUCCGCAUCUAGCAUCAAAUUCGUAUCUGCAAAAAUAUUAAUUAUUAUUUUACUUGCUUUAUCACAUCUUGAUAUUAUUACUAUAGAAUUUUAAUCGUUAUGUUAGAAUGGAAUUUGAAGUUGAUAAAAUUGUAAUCAGUUGAAUCGGUCGGUGGCCAAUUUCUGAUGAAAGAUAAUACUGAUUAAGCAUAGGUUUUGGAAAGAAUUUUAAGUAUCAGUGUGAAUAUUUAAAAAUAAAUGUUUAUUUAUUUUUGGGUAUAUAUUUUUAAAAAUGUUAUUUUCAUGUUUGCUCUCUAUUUAUUUGUAUCUAUAUUAUUGUCU